rnacentral:rRNA from 1 species
CACGUAGGGCGCGAGCGUUGUCCGGAAUUAUUGGGCGUAAAGAGCUCGUAGGCGGCCUGUUGCGUCCGCUGUGAAAGCCCGGGGCUUAACCCCGGGUCGGCAGUGGAUACGGGCAGGCUAGAGGUAGGUAGGGGAGAAUGGAAUUCCCGGUGUAGCGGUGAAAUGCGCAGAUAUCGGGAGGAACACCGGUGGCGAAGGCGGCUCUCUGGGCCUUACCUGACGCUGAGGAGCGAAAGCGUGGGGAGCGAACAGG